UGGGGAAUAUUGCACAAUGGGCGCAAGCCUGAUGCAGCGACGCCGCGUGAGGGACGAAGGCCUUCGGGUUGUAAACCUCUUUCAGCAGGGAAGAAGCGAAAGUGACGGUACCUGCAGAAGAAGCACCGGCUAACUACGUGCCAGCAGCCGCGGUAAUACGUAGGGUGCAAGCGUUGUCCGGAAUUAUUGGGCGUAAAGAGCUCGUAGGCGGUUUGUCGCGUCCGCUGUGAAAACUCAGGGCUUAACCCUGAGCCUGCAGUGGGUACGGGCAGACUAGAGUGUGGUAGGGGAGAUCGGAAUUCCUGGUGUAGCGGUGGAAUGCGCAGAUAUCAGGAGGAACACCGGUGGCGAAGGCGGAUCUCUGGGCCAUAACUGACGCUGAGGAGCGAAAGCAUGGGGAGCGAACA
rnacentral:rRNA from 1 species